GCGAGAAGUUUACUUCGGUAAAUGGACAGCGGCGAAAGGGACAGUAAUGUGUAGGUACCUACCCCCCGAUCUGGGAUAGCUGCGGAAACUGCAGGUAAUACCGGAUAAUGUCUUCGGACCAAAGGUGUGAUUCCGUCAGGGGAGGGGCCUGCAUCCUAUUAGCUUGUUGGUGAGGUAAUGGCUCACCAAGGCAACGAUGGGUAGCGGGUGUGAGAGCAUGACCCGCGUCAUUGGGACUGAGACACUGCCCAGACAUCUACGGAUGGCUGCAGUCGAGAAUCUUCGGCAAUGGGCGAAAGCCUGACCGAGCGACGCCGCGUGCGGGAUGAAGGCCCUCGGGUUGUAAACCGCUGUCGCUGGGGAGGAAAUGCAAAAGGGUUAUCCCUUCUGUUUGACCGAUCCAAGGAGGAAGUACGGGCUAAGUUCGUGCCAGCAGCCGCGGUAAGACGAACCGUACGAACGUUAUUCGGAAUUACUGGGCUUAAAGGGUGCGUAGGCUGCACGGAAAGUUGGGUGUGAAAGCCCUCAGCUCAACUGAGGAAUUGCAUCCAAAACUGCCGUGCUAGAGGGAGACAGAGGUGAGCGGAACUCAGGGUGGAGCGGUGAGAUGCGUUGAUAUCUUGAGGAACACCGGUGGCGAAAGCGGCUCACUGGGUCUCUUCUGACGCUGAGGCACGAAAGCUAAGGUAGCAAACGGAUUAGAUACCCCGGUAGUCUUAGCUGUAAACGAUGAGCACUUGAUUGGAGGGUCCUCCAUAGCUUCCAUCU
rnacentral:rRNA from 1 species